CGGAAACUGGCCUCUCGACUUUCUCAAGCCGGAUUCAGACUGGGGCAGACCUGUGGGCGGGGCAGGAAAGCCCGGGCUUCCGCAUUCCUGCUUCCGGCCCGGUGCGUAUAGAAUAUAAACCUCUCAAAAGCAUAUAGUAAAGCUAAAGAAGAAGACAAUCAACCAAGGGUCAUCUAUCUGAAAUUGUAAUUGGCUCACUAAUAAUCCCAGGACAAAGUUAGAGAUCACAACUCAAGCCUAAGCCUCCCUUUCCUAAGACUGCCACAAAGAUGUUGGACAUAAAGGCUUGGGCUGAGUAUAUUGUGGAAUGGGCUGCAAAGGACCCAUACGGCUUCCUUACAACAGUUAUUUUGGCCCUUACUCCAUUGUUUCUAGCAAGUGCUGUCCUGUCCUGGAAAUUGGCCAAGAUGAUUGAGGCAAGGGAAAAGGAGCAAAAGAAAAAACAAAAACGUCAAGAGAAUAUUGCAAAAGCUAAACGAUUAAAAAAGGACUGAAGGAAUGAACAGGCUCUGCCACUGGAGAAAACUUACUUGGGAAAUUAUGCAGCUUGCAACGACCCUCUAAGGUUUCUUUUCUGGAUUUAUGACUAGUAAACGAAGUUUGAACAUAUGGAAGAUUCAUGUUAGUUCUGACCUCUGGUAUAGCAGCUUUUAAGCUUUGAUACAGAAGUCUGUUCACAGUUAUUGUAAAUUGGCAUUUAUUAUACUGCAAAUUCUUUAUGACUGACUUAGUCAUUUGCCAUUUUGCAGCUUAUCUCCUGAAAUGAAAACAUCCUGUGGGGGAAAAAAAUGACUUUAAAUUAUGAACUCUAUUCAAAUACUGGCUCAAAAUGGGGUCCUGUUCUGGAUGAAGGAAACUGAGAAUGUAAAAAUGAGAAUUGUCCUGAGGUGAAAAGUACGCUUUGGCUUAAAAGAGAUCCAGUAUAUUAAUUACAUCUUUUAUCCUUAUUGCUUGUUUCUUAGAAUCAUUCUGGCUUUCUCAAAGCAAAAUAUUAUUAAUCAAUGAGUACUUCAAUUUUAUGCAUUUUUCUCAUUUUUGCCUUUGAGAUACUGGUAAUUAUCAGAUAUCUUGCCUUUUUAAAAUCAAAUUUUAUAAAAAAUUAUCUUAUUAUUUUGUCUAUAUAGAAUACCACCUACUGGAUAUAACAAUUUUUGUACUUACAAACACUGCCAUUUACUUAGAGAUGAUUUGUUGAAUAGAGUAACACUAUGAUAUAAAGCUUGCAAUAAAAAUUCCAAACCUUGUA